UCCUACGGGAGGCAGCAGUGGGGAAUAUUGGACAAUGGGCGCAAGCCUGAUGCAGCCAUGCCGCGUGUGUGAAGAAGGCCUUCGGGUUGUAAAGCACUUUCAGUCAGGAGGAAAGAUUAGUAGUUAAUACCUGCUAGUUGUGACGUUACUGACAGAAGAAGCACCGGCUAACUCCGUGCCAGCAGCCGCGGUAAU
rnacentral:rRNA from 1 species